rnacentral:lncRNA from 1 species
AAGGAGGCGCUCAGGCCUCGGGGUAUGGUUUUCCACCCCAUUAUCCACCCUUUCCACAGGGUUCAGGGUAUCCGAUGGGAGGCACAUCGGAUUACUCCAGUUUUAACCCCUACCCUACCUAUAUGCCUUAUCCACCUUUCUAUCCACCUUACACACAGUACCUAGCUUAUCCACCCUCACCCUUCUAUCCUAACCCGGCAAACCCCAC